rnacentral:snRNA from 12 species
GAAAAGAAGAAUAGAAUGGCCCCUUCACAAAGAUGAUAUGCAAAUUCUUGAAGUGCUCCAUAUUUUU